UUUAUAUGUAAUGUAUUUUAUAUUUAAAUUGUAACAAACAAUAUGUUUAAAUACUACAAAAUUAAAAAAUACCGCGAACUUAAACGGAUGUGACAUCAGGCAUUCAUAGACAACAUGACUUGAUUUUUUAAUAAAGUCUAUGGUUUUGUCUAUUGUUGUGAACUUGCCAGAUUUGAUUAAUUCGUUACGUUUGUGCAUCAUUUACAUAUAAAGCGUUUGUGGUUAAGUUAAAUUCAAGAAGCUUUUAUCAUUGGUUAAAUUAUAAAUAGUUAUUGGUUCCAGUUGGUUAGUAAUAAUAAAAAAAAACAAUGCAAGAAGUAUAAUUUAAUUUAAUAAAGACUACUACGAACGUAGUUACGGACACAGGCCUCCCGCCUCAUGGUGAAGUGCGGAUAGGCACAAAAUCAAUAAAUUUUUGAGUGUUCGAAUCUUCGACUUUUUUAUUCACAUCGAAGAAUAAAAAAUGUGCCCGCUCAGUUCUAAGAUAAAAUAUUAUAAAGUACUUAUUAUCUACUUAGCUACCAGGGAAAAAAAUAGGAGGUACUACACUACAUCGCAUCGGAACAUAUUAUAUCAUUGAUAACGAUACGAGCAAUAGAAAGUGCGAUCGAAUCUGCGGGCGACAACAAGGAGUGAGAUUAUCCAUACUACUACUACCUACUCAAAAUGAUGGAGAAAAACAUCUUGAUUGAUACCUAGAUGGGAAGAUGUUGACACAGAAUAUUUGGUAUUGGUUGUAUUCUCCGAUACUCUUGGUGAUUAAUAAGGAGAGAUUAUCGUAAUGUAGGUACUGUAGCUGUAAGUCAUACUAGAGAAAUGUGGCUGGUUGUGGUUGUGGAAACAAUAGAUUUUCUAUUGUGUCUGUGAUUCCGGGGGCUGAGUUAUGAAAAAAGAAAAUAAAACCCAAACAUUAUAAA